rnacentral:rRNA from 1 species
UACGUAGGGUGCGAGCGUUAAUCGGAAUUACUGGGCGUAAAGGGCGCGUAGGCGGUUCGUACAGUCAGACGUGAAAUUCCUGGGCUCAACCUGGGGGCUGCGUUUGAUACGUGCGGACUUGAGUGCGGAAGAGGGUCGUGGAAUUCCCAGUGUAGAGGUGAAAUUCGUAGAUAUUGGGAAGAACACCGGUGGCGAAGGCGGCGACCUGGUCCGAUACUGACGCUGAGGCGCGAAAGCGUGGGGAGCAAACAGG